UCUUACGGUCUUACCAAUAGCCGCUUCGUAACCCUAGCUCAUCGUAUUACGUAUAUAAGCAGGCAAGAUCUGAACCGGAUCUAAAAAUUGGCGCGUCUACAUCCCUAGGCAGGGAUACUGAAGAGCCAAUCAUCCCUUUCUCUGGAUGAUAAAGCGAAUGAGAUGACGAGCCCGAUGCAACUUUUUGAUGUGGAAAAAUCGAGGCACUUGUCUGAGAGAAGCCUGGGGGGAAGCCGUUUGCUCCUUUUUUGUGCAAUUCCUGCUUGAUUAAGAGAAAUUUGGAGGUGGCAUGAUGAUGAUGAUCUACGUUAAAAGUAGCCCGAGAUCUGUCUAUGAGCGAUUCAAAAUCUCCUACUCAUUCUGAAUGCCGUCUCCACCUGCUUUUUUGAAUCUUGCUCUUUAACUUAAAAGAAAAUUUUUGCUGUAUUUCCUGCAAUUUUUGCCUAUUUAUUGCCGGACACGAGAAUUCUCUAAAUUUUCUCAAAUAAGGUAGCACAAUUUUAUUCAGGC